rnacentral:piRNA from 1 species
UNUGAAGUAGCUUAGUCAACUAAAGGCCA